CGUGUAGGCGGCCGCACAGGUCCGUUGUGAAAACUGGAGGCUUAACCUUCAGACGUCGAUGGAAACCGUGCGGCUAGAGUCCGGAAGAGGAGAAUGGAAUUCCUGGUGUAGCGGUGAAAUGCGCAGAUAUCAGGAAGAACACCCGUGGCUAAGGCGGUUCUCUAGUACGGUACUGACGCUGAGACGCGAAAGCGUGGGAGCGAACA
rnacentral:rRNA from 1 species